AAAAAAACAAGAUUUGGUAUUAGAAGUUUUAACUCACAGGUAGAUUUAAAUAUAACUUUACACAACAUAUGAACAAAUAGCAAUAUACAAAUAAUAAUAAAGCCUCAAGCAACUAUACUGGCAAAACCUUAUGAUGGGACAUGAAUGUCUAAAUAAAUGAGAAGGAAUAACUUGCAUCAAGCCAGCAAGCAGAGCUGUCCUAGUAAAGAAAAAAAUCUAUAAUUUUCAUCGAAAAUAUUUUAUUUCUCCAAGAUAUAUUUGUGGAUAAUCCAAUGUGCACAAAGCAGUGAAUUGUGGAUGUUCCAUAUUCGCGGCAAAGCAAUCAAAUAUAUUUUAAGGUCGGAUCAUACUUUUCCUUGAUGGAUUGCUCCUUAAUGCUUGACCUGCACUGGAAAUGUGUGAAGUUUGGAUGAAGGUGAGAUCUUUGAAGCUGUUUUACUUCCUGCUGGCCCUUUCUUGGAAGCUGCUGGGGACGAACCCUUAGCUGCACUUCUUUCUGCAAUCCUCUUUUGCCUCUCGAUCACUAAUUCUUCCAUUCUCUUGCGCAUUUCUUCGUCCCGAUCUAAUUUGCUCUUCUGGGUUGUCAGUUUGUUAGUAGGAGGAGACAUCUUCUUGCUCUUUGCUAAAGCAUCAAUCCUGCU
rnacentral:misc_RNA from 1 species